AGAAAAUAGAAGGAGAGUUGCAGGAACAAGCAGAAAUAGGAUUGGAAAACUUCAGCCUAUGGAAAACAGAACAGAAAGAGCAGAAGGGGAGCUGUGAAAUUCAGAAAUCCCAAGGUUACCACCAUAUAAUUACAGAAGUUAAAGGUGAUCAGGUGCCCAGCAUAAGAGCAAAAAAAAAAAAGGCAAAAUCUCCAGUCAAGAAGAAGUUCUUUCUGAUCAAAAAUCAACUCACCGUGAUUCUGUCUUGAGGGCUGUGAUUCAAGGCCUUGUUAACCAGCUGUAGAUUAGAGUGGUAGUAGCUUCAACUGGACUACAUGACUAUGUUCACCCUGAAGAAGGUGAGUUAAAAAAGACACUUUAAGACUGUAUGGGGAUUUUAUCAUUUGAUGGCUUUAAAAAAUUUUCCAUGCAUUUGUGCUAUAUUUUUAAUAGAGAAUGACAGAAUAUUUAGUUGUUUCAUAAAUACAGAAUACCUCAUGUCUGAGCAUGUCAUUGCAACAAAAACACUGGAAAUAUUGUUUAUGAAAAAUUGUACUGAGCCUCAAAUAAAAUAUUAACUGGUAAGUGUAAAAAAAAUUAGCAUCUAAUGCUAGCUACCAAUCACUUUAAAAAUGUUAGCAAAUUAAUCUUAACGUGAAAGCUGAUGUACGUAUCUAUCUCAUACUGAUUAAAAAUAUUCAGAGGAAUUUAGGAAAUUAGAGUAAAAAUUUCCUUUGAAAAAACAACAAACUUUUAUGUGAAUUUCACAGAUAAUCCUAUUCUUU